GACCCAGACUAGAAGGAGGCUAGUCUGUAAAAGAAACUUACUGGAACAUCUCUGAGGGAGGGUCUGAAUCUGGAACCCGCACCACAGACUGGUUCCUCCAGAAGUGCAGGACUAACUACAUUAGCUAACAGCAAGAGAAGGUUGUUAUCCCACAGCAGGAGAAUUUGAGCCACUGGCACUGUGUGCUGGGUUUAGGGAGUAAUUAGGAGGAGUCUGGCCUGGCUUUCUCCCCCUCUCUUCCCUGGGAUAUGGAGGAUUCCUGCCCUGUGUGGUGCCCCCAAAGAUGCUGGCAAAAUUUUCCUGAGAAAAGCAAGCCACAGCAGGGAAAUGAUGGAGAAAUGGAGGCAGAAAGAGGUAUCCAGUGUCACAAAGCAAAUCAAUGGAAGAGCUGUGAAUAAGACCCAAGGCUCCUGACUCCCAGAACAGUGUCCUAUCCACUGGAUCACACUGAGAGCUAGCAGAGCCAAGUCCAUAUAUUGCUAGUAAAGAGUAAUUGUUUGCUAACGUGUUUUCAUAACCUCACUGUUUGAAUUGUGACUGCCAGUGAUAUCUUUUCUGGUUUUUAGUCUUUGUGAUUGGAGGAUGGAGCUGUGGGGUGAUCUCCUUUUCCUUCCCCCCCCCGCCCCCCCCCCCAAAAAA